CAAUAUUAAAAGCAAAAUAAGCUCAAAGGAGAGCUAUGACACGUAAGCUUAAAAAAUCAUCCAAUUAGGGAUAAGCUAUUUUACACAUUGUUUAUUCAAUUCUGAGUUUCUUCUAUGGCUUUAAACUACUUAGCUCUGGCCCAAAAAAGAGCCCACUUCAAUAGCCCUAACUUCUGAAACGAUGAUAGCUUCUAUCGCCUUCCCCUCAGACACUUCGUCUUCUCCGCUUCGAGUUCUUGCGACCUCCGUUACCGCAAUCUCACUUCUUAUCAAUCAAUAGUUUUGUUAACUUCACUCUUUAUGAUUUCGUUUCGCAUCCCUCCCUUUCUCAUUCUUUAUAUACUACUGUUUUUUCUUUCUUUUGCUACAAACCAAAACACUCAAAUCUCCUCAAAUCGAUCUCAAGCUCUAGCAUGGCCAAUGAUCAGGAAGUUAUGUUCUUCAGAGCUAUAUCACUAGGUCCCCACGAAACCCAGAUAUGCUACCGUCUAAUCCAUUUCUGGGAGCUCCGAAACCCACUGAAAAAAAAACAUUUAUUGGUCUGGAAAUUCUCCUCAUCGACGAACAGGUUCGUGAAUCCUCCAAAAUUUAGUUUCCUAUAUUUUCCACUGAUUUUAUAUAUCGUUAAACAUGGUCGUGUUUCCACUGAUUUAAUAUAUUGUUAAACAUGGUUGUCUUAUAUAUUUUCCUUCUGUGUUAUGUUAAUUUUUACAUCUUCUUCAAGGAACUGUUAUUCAAGGAUUCAUUCCAUCAGGAUGUGUUAAAAAAUAUUUGCCUGACAUGAAACAAGGAUCAGUUUACAGUCUCUUGACCUUCUACGGAUCCAAAAAACAAAACGGUGCACCGGGUUGCUUAUUAUAGCGUAACCGUUUCUUUCUCAUAGAACUCUAUCAUGUCGGUUCUUAAUGACAGUCCCGUCCCCUUUGACGAAGACCGUUUACGCUUCCAUUCAUAUGAGGAUUUUGAAGCUAAAUGUGAUCUCAAAUGUGACCUCUACGAUGUUGUUGGACACAUGAAGCUGGUCAAUGGACAUGAGAGCGUCCCAUCCUUAACGAAGCGGAGAUAGCAACUAUGCGGCAUCUUUUGGUUCAUGUGCAAUCGCAUGACGGACCUGUUUUGAUCAAUUGAGCAGAUAAUGUUUCCAAAUUUUCACGAAUUCUGGUGAGAGAGUAUUGUUCUGGAUAUAUUGAUAUGCAAUUGAUUUGGUAUGAUCCUUGAAAAACCUUGCCAUUCUAUGUCUUAAAUCUAAGUUGUUAUAUAGAACUGAGUUAUAUCUUAUACCUUUUUAAUGUAGGGAUUUGGGUUGUCAUGUAUAGCUAGACCACGCCAAUGUGAUGGUCAAACAUACGAGUUUGUGUUCACACAUGACCUAGCUAUCGUACGUUUGAUGCGAGUACUGAACUUUUUUAAGAUGGAAAGGGCAUUGGCACCGUUCACACCAACUCAUUGAGACAAAGAUGAGUGGCAUCCACUGCAAGGCGCUUGGCGUUUUAUUCAAGCACGCACUCUUUGGAUCAUCUUCUUGACAUAAUGACAUUGGAGUUGAACACAAUCUUUCUCAAGUUUAACAUGCUUCCCUCCUUGAAAACAAGUGAGUCUCUAUAGGCUGAUUUUUGGUGGCUCAUAGUGGAAGCAACAACACGGAGUACGAUUCAUAUCUCCAAGACCAGUAUAGAUAUUAGUCAGUGGUGUUGGUUGAGAUAUGGUUUUACUCAGAAUGCA